rnacentral:miRNA from 1 species
AGUUGAAUCACCUGGGAUUUUAUUAAAUGCAGAUUCUGAUUCAGUAGCCCUGAAGUUCUGCAUUUCUAACAAGUUUCUCAUGGAUGCAGAU